UGGGGAAUUUUGGACAAUGGGCGAAAGCCUGAUCCAGCAAUGCCGCGUGUGUGAAGAAGGCCUUCGGGUUGUAAAGCACUUUUGUCCGGAAAGAAAUCCUUGGCUCUAAUACAGUCGGGGGAUGACGGUACCGGAAGAAUAAGCACCGGCUAACUACGUGCCAGCAGCCGCGGUAAUACGUAGGGUGCAAGCGUUAAUCGGAAUUACUGGGCGUAAAGCGUGCGCAGGCGGUUUGCUAAGACCGAUGUGAAAUCCCCGGGCUCAACCUGGGAACUGCGUUGGUGACUGGCAGGCUAGAGUAUGGCAGAGGGGGGUUAGAAUUCCACGUGUAGCAGUGAAAUGCGUAGAGAUGUGGAGGAAUACCGAUGGCGAAGGCAGCCCCCUGGGCCAAUACUGACGCUCAUGCACGAAAGCGUGGGGAGCAAACAGGAUUAGAUACCCUGGUAGUCCACGCCCUAAACGAUGUCAACUAGUUGUUGGGGAUUCAUUUCCUUAGUAACGUAGCUAACGCGUGAAGUUGACCGCCUGGGGAGUACGGUCGCAAGAUU
rnacentral:rRNA from 1 species